rnacentral:misc_RNA from 1 species
AACCUAGAAAGAAGUCUUUUCUUCUGUAUCAUCGGUGUCUCAUUUAAGUCAACCUCCUUGAAAUUACCAUUCACAACUUUCGAUGCAGAAAGGCCGUGAUAGUCAGAUGUUUUCUUGGCAUUCGCAAUGUGCAUGGCUACCUUGGCUUCACUAGGGAAGAAUAAGCGUGCAAAUGCCACUCUGUUCUCCAGGUACAGAAGCUUCAUGUGCAGAUCAUCAGACAUUGUUUGGGAAGUCAUUGAAGCAUCUCCAGCCAUGGGGUUCCUCCGCAUUUCCCUCUCUAAAACAUCAAUGCAUAGCCGGUCCUUAUUUGUUUCCUGCCCCUGCUCUGUUUUAGCAUCAU